GCUUACGCUCAUAUCAUGUUGAAAGCACCUCAUCCCGUUCGAUCUGAGAAGUGAAUCAACUUCAAGCUACCUUAGUACUUGGAUCGGAGACGUCCUGGGGAAUCCGUAGUGGUGUAAGCU
rfam:Rhabditophanes sp. KR3021 genome assembly, scaffold: RSKR_contig0000095